AUUCCUUGCUGCAAUGUAAUUAUAUUUACUUACAAGUGUGCUCCUGGUGGUCUUUAACUGAAGGGCACUGACUGGGUCACUGGUGAAGUUCCCCGCAGGAACUGAGUCAGACCCCAUCUCAGGGCCCUGCACAAGAUAGGUGCCUGCUCUAAGGCGUGGACCCUCGCCACAGCCCUGGCCCGUCUUGACGGGCGAGGGUUACUGUACUUGUCCCAACCGUACAGAUGAGAAAGCUGAGACUCAGGGCGAGCAACCCGGGUCCCAGCGGAGCGCCCGGCACACGCCGACACUUCAGCACCAGUCGCGGUGGCCACCACUGUGCGCGGAGAUGGCUGCGACGCGUGCGCAGAGGGAUCAUGGAAAGGAAGCUGAAUUUGCCAAGUUUUGCCACUUGGGCAUUGCAUGCCUAUGUGAUUAACCACCAAUAAAAACCUGGGACAUCAAAGAAUAAAUAAGCUGCUCUAAUUGCCAAGAAUUCACAUGUGGUUGUAUGCAGCUUUACUGGGAGACUGAAGUGUAUCUGCAUGUGAUUCUGCUGUGAUGGACACUUGAUCUUGAGAUGACGUCAUACUGGAUGAUCCUAGUGCACCCUAAAUCCAAUAAGUGUUCUUAUGAAAGACAGAAGAGGAGAAGAUACAGGAAAUAGAAGAAGGCUACUUGAGGAUGGAAGCAGAGAUUGGAGUUAUGCAGCUACAAACCAAAGAAUGCCUUGAGCCACCAGCAGCUGAAAGAGCUAGUCAGCAAUACAACUGGGAUUUGAUAUCAGAUUCAUACGAUUCCGAAGACCCUGACCACCAAAUGCAAAAGAUGCUGUAGUCUGAGUAGCUGAAAUCACUCAUAUAGGCACCACCUUACAUGACUGAUGCCCAGUAAAAGCCCUGGAGACCAAAACUUAAAUGAGCUUCUCUGAUUGACAACACUUCAAUAUGCUGUCAAAUAUUGUUGCUGGGAGAAUUACGUGUGUUCUUAUGGGAUUCCACUGGGAGAGGACACCUGAAAGCUUGUACCUGAUAUCUUCUACAUUUCUCCCCAUGGGCUUUUUUUCUUUGUUGAUUUUAAUCUGUAUCUUUUCAUUGUAGUAAACUGUAACUAUGAAUGUAAUGUGUUUUCUAAGACCUGUGAAUCAUUAUAGUUAAUCUUUGAGCCUAAGGGUGGUCAUAAGGAGCCCCAACACACUAAUAAAUUACUUUCAUAAAGAAUAUAUAAAAGCUGUCAAAAAUCAAAAAUAAAACAAAUCACCCAAUUUUUUAAAAGGCAAAAGAUUGAAAAAGACGUCAUGAUAGAAGACAUGGAUGACAAAUAAGUAUAUCAAAAAAUUUUAACAUCUGUAGUCAUUAAAGAAUUGAAAACCACAAAGAAAUACUACUGAUAGUUAUUACAAUGUCCAAAGUGAAAAAAAAUAUUGACCCUACCAGGUAUAUGCAACAAAAUGGAGGAACUGAAACGUUAAUAUACUUUUGAUUGACAACCACUUUGUAAAAUAGAUAGAUUGACAGCUUCUUAAAAAAGUAAACCUAUGCUUACCACUUAAUCUAGUCAUUUAUCUUCUAGAUAUUUCCCCCUCGAAAAAUGAAAAAGAAAUUGUUGUAUAUAAAUAUUCAUAGGCAUUUUCUCUUUAAUAGCUAAAAUGUGGUCAUGACCCACAUAUUCAUUAACAAGUAAUUGGUGAUAUAUACGUACAGCAAAAUUCUGCUCAGCAAUGAAAAGGUUCGACUACUGACACAUGCAACAACAUGAAUGAAUUUCAAAAGAAUUUUGCUGUAAAGCAAAAAUGCCAGCCAAAAAAUAGUGCACCUUAUAUGAUUCCAUUUAUAUAAAACUUCUGGAUGCACCAAUAUACAAUAUACAGUAAUAUACAAUACUGAAAGAUGGUCAGCAGUUGUCUAGCUAAGAUGCUUAUUAGGAGAGACAAUAAUUGCAAAAGGGGAUUAUUAAAAGUAGUCAUGAGGAAACAUUUUGUGGAUUUAUAUGUUCACUAUCUUGACAAUAAUGAUGAUCUCACGGAUGUAUAAAUAUGUCAGAGCAUAUCUAAUAAUUUAUCUUACAUAUUUUUGGCUUUUAAUAUGUUAAUUAUAGCUCAAUAAAUUUCUUAAAAACUCAUUGGACUCUAUCUGUAAUGUGUGUAUGUUUAGUUUUAAGUAGAGUGCAGCUAAAUUUUUCUCCACCAUUACAAUUUUCAAACAUACUUUCACUUACAGAAUAGCAUACUGAAAAUUAACACAUGCUUUUAUAAUUAUAAAUAAAAUAGUAAUAUAUCAUUUCUGCUGAAAUAAAUGCAAACCAAUUACAAGGAAUUUAUUAGUUUUUAUUUUAGUUACUUCAUAUAUAUUAGCAUCUAAGCCUCAAAGAUUCACUAUGUAAUUGUGUAAAUUAGUAGUAGGGUUACCUGAAUCUGGCUUAAUAGUGAAUUAAUCAGUAUUUAUCUUUAAACAUUUUUUCCUUUAUGAAUUGUGUCACACUUUUAAAGAGCCCUUCCUACAUUACAAGCAUGUAUAAAAUAUAUUCUUAUACUAUUUUAGAAUAAUUUCAGAAGUUAGAUUGUUUUCUAGAUUUAGUGUUUUCAUUGAUACCAAAUUUAUUUUUAUGUACAUAAAUGUAUGAUUUUAAGUUAGAUUAUUUCAAACUGGUAUCCCUGCAAUUAUCUGAACAAAAAU
rnacentral:lncRNA from 1 species